UACGAAGGGGGCUAGCGUUGUUCGGAAUUACUGGGCGUAAAGGGCGCGUAGGCGGUUCUUUAAGUCAGGAGUGAAAGCCCUGGGCUCAACCCGGGAAUUGCUCUUGAAACUAUUGAACUCGAGUGUAGGAGAGGUGAGUGGAAUUCCCAGUGUAGAGGUAAAAUUCGUAGAUAUUGGGAGGAACACCGGUGGCGAAGGCGGCUCACUGGCCUACUACUGACGCUGAGGCGCGAAAGCGUGGGGAGCAAACAGG
rnacentral:rRNA from 1 species